GUAAUUCUAGAGCUAAUACAUGCCUACAGAGUUCCAACCGCCUCAUCAGCGGGAGGAACGCUUUUAUUAGAUCAAAACCAUUCGACGAGCGCGGCGCUUCGGCGUCGUCUCGUCGCAAGCACACGAUUCUCCGAAUCGUUCAAGUGGUGACUCUGAAUAACUUUGAGCUGAUCGCACGGUCUCAGUGCUGGCGAUGCAUCUUUCAAAUGUCUGCCUUAUCAACUGUCGAUGGUAGGUUAUGCGCCUACCAUGGUGGUAACGGGUGACGGGGGAUCAGGGUUCGAUUCCGGAGAGGGAGCCUGAGAAACGGCUACCACAUCCAAGGAAGGCAGCAGGCACGCAAAUUACCCACUCCCAGCUCAGGGGAGGUAGUGACGAACUAUAACGAUACGGGACUCAUCCGAGGCCUCGUAAUCGGAAUGAGUACACUUUAAAACGUUUAACGAGGAUCCAUUGGAGGGCAAGUCUGGUGCCAGCAGCCGCGGUAAUUCCAGCUCCAAUAGCGUAUAUUAAAGUUGUUGCGGUUAAAAAGCUCGUAGUU
rnacentral:rRNA from 1 species